GCGGUGCGUCGUACAAUGCCGAUACCGAAACGUAAACAAACACAAUCUAAUCUGAGAAUCAAUCGAUUUCCAAUACUUUGAGAAUCUGUUAGCGGUAUGUGUCAGCGGUCUCAACGCGGCGUGGGUGCUAGGGGAGCGAGAGGGAUGCGCAGUCUGUUAUGUCAUUGACGAAGGAAAUCUGUUGAUGGAUCGAGCAAAGGCCCAGUCGAGUUGCCUGCACUGUUGUCUUGCAAUGCAUGGAAAGGGAAAGCGCUCCCUUACCGUGGGAUCUGCAGAGCACCUUAUUUUCAAGUACGCAAGAUGGAUGAGCCACAGAAAAUUUUCAGUGUAGUGUUUCGCCAUCUAUUUGGAAGUGUCUGUAAGCAUUAGUAGUAUUUUCAAAGUUUUGUCUGAUGUAGACUCUUUUUUGAAAUCAAGUGAAACGCCGCAUACUUGGUGCCAGGCUCUUAAAACAUCCUAUUGUAGUAAGGGCAUCAACUGGUGAAGAACUGAGAGUCGCCUCUUUUGUUAUAAGAAUUAUAAGGGUGUUAUUUAUGGUACGUCUGUUUUAUGUAAAUUCAAGCAACUGUAAUCUGUCUAAAACUGGUAAGUGAUGGGUAGUAAUGCCAAGGGAAAUCUCUUUUCAGACUCAUCUCGCUUUGAGCUACAAUAUUCUUUUGCUUUGAUAUCCUUUCAGUUUGGCACCAAUUGCCUAGUGAGCCAUGCUGUAUUAGAUCACAAUUUCAGUGCAAAGGUUCUCUCUUGUUGCACAUAGUCAAAACUGUUAUCCCUCUGUGAUUCAUAGGGAAGAGUACGAGUAAUAAUAAAUGUAUUUUGUGAAUGAAUGUUGUACUAUAUAAACAAAAAAUAUUAAUGUGAAUGUUAUAUGCAAAUGUUGUAACAAAGUAUAAUCUAUGCAAUGUAA